rnacentral:rRNA from 1 species
GACAGAGGGUGCGAACGUUGUUCGGAAUUACUGGGCGUAAAGCGUGUGUAGGCGGCAAGGCAAGUCGGAUGUGAAAUCCCGUGGCUCAACCAUGGACGUGCACUCGAAACUGCCUAGCUAGAGUCCCGGAGAGGAAGGUGGAAUGCUUGGUGUAGAGGUGAAAUUCGUAGAUAUCAAGCAGAACACCUGUGGCGAAGGCGGCCUUCUGGACGGUGACUGACGCUGAGACACGAAAGCGUGGGGAGCAAACAGGAUUAGAUACCCCCGUAGUCC